rnacentral:rRNA from 1 species
UACGUAGGGGGCGAGCGUUGUCCGGAGUUACUGGGCGUAAAGCGCGCGCAGGCGGCUCUUCAAGUCAGGGGUGAAAGCCCAGAGCUCAACUCUGGAACUGCCUUUGAGACUGAAGAGCUUGAGUACGGGAGAGGUGAGUGGAAUUCCCAGUGUAGAGGUGAAAUUCGUAGAUAUUGGGAAGAACACCGGUGGCGAAGGCGGCGACCUGGUCCUUGACUGACGCUGAGGCGCGAAAGCGUGGGGAGCAAACAGG